rnacentral:lncRNA from 1 species
AAAAAAAUAUAAAAAAUAAAGAAAAUAAAAGGAAUAAACAAUAAAAUAUAAAAAAUAUUUUUUUUUCUAUAAGAAAAAUAAAGAAUCAGAGAGAAAAGAAGAAGAUGAUAAAGAUGCACUGUUUGAGAGGAAUGUUAAAAAUUACACUUUUCUAAAUGAAACUUGCACUCUUUGAAUGAAACUUGCACUCUUUAGGUAAAAAUUAUACUAUUUCUUCUCAUCCACACAAAAAUAAUGAAGAAGGAGGAGGAGAAAGAGGAGAAAUAAUGCAAUUUUUAUUCAAAAGAGCUUAAUUUUUCUCUCAAAUAAUUUAAGUUUUCUUUAAAACUGUGCAACGUUCCUCUGAAAUAAUGUAACUUUAUCAUCUUCUUCUUUUCUAUCUGAUUCUUUAUUUUUCUUAUAACUUCUUUUCACCCUAUCCGACCUUCAUCGUCUCCUCCACCGCCUUGGCGGCCCUUAGCAAUGGUAACGAAGGCAAUCCCACAUUCUCUUCCUCUAUCUCCUCCGCCGUCGGCGCCAUCGACCCUCGUCGACAAUAACGAGGGCGGCGCCACCUCCUCCGCAAGCGCCAGAGAAGGAAAAAGAGAAACUCGAAUCGGACCUAGAUAAGAAUGAUCAUUAUAUAUCAUUACUGCUACCCAAAAAUGAUAUAUAAUUUUCUCUCUCAAAAAAAAAUUAUAUAUUUUUUUUACUUUUUAUUCUUAUUUUUACCAUCUACAUCUUUGUUCGAUCCUUAAAGAUGGGCACGUCUUUUUUUUCUCACCCUCACGGGCGGCGAGCACCUCCUCAACAAU